rnacentral:rRNA from 1 species
AUUGACCUCGGAUCAGGUAGGGAUACCCGCUGAACUUAAGCAUAUCAAUAAGCGGAGGAAAAGAAACCAACAGGGAUUGCCCUAGUAACGGCGAGUGAAGCGGCAACAGCUCAAAUUUGAAAUCUGGCUCCUUUGGGGUCCGAGUUGUAAUUUGUAGAGGGUGCUUUGGCGUUGGUUGUGGUCUAAGUUCCUUGGAACAGGACGUCACAGAGGGUGAGAAUCCCGUACGUGGCCGCCAGCCUCCGCCGUGUAAAGCCCCUUCGAUGAGUCGAGUUGUUUGGGAAUGCAGCUCUAAAUGGGAGGUAAAUUUCUUCUAAAGCUAAAUAUUUGCCAGAGACCGAUAGCGCACAAGUAGAGUGAUCGAAAGAUGAAAAGCACUUUGGAAAGAGAGUCAAAAAGCACGUGAAAUUGUUGAAAGGGAAGCGCUUGCAGCUAGACGUGCCUUGGGUUGAUCAGCCGGACUUUUGCCCGGUGCACUCUUCCUUUGGCAGGCCAGCAUCAGUUUGGGCGGCUGGAUAAAGGUCUGUUAAACGUGACUUCCUUCGGGGAGAGCUUAUAGGGCAGACGACAUGCAGCCAGCCUGAACUGAGGUCCGCGCAUCUGCUAGGAUGCUGGCGUAAUAGCUGUAAGCGGCCCGUCUUGAAACACGGACCAAGGAGUCUAACAUCUAUGCGAGUGUUUGGGUGUCAAGCCCGAGCGCGUAAUGAAAGUAAACGGAGGUGGGAACCUUUUAGGUGCACCAUCGACCGAUCCUGAUGUCUUCGGAUGGAUUUGAGUAAGAGCAUAGCUGUUGGGACCCGAAAGAUGGUGAACUAUGCCUGAAUAGGGUGAAGCCAGAGGAAACUCUGGUGGAGGCUCGCAGCGGUUCUGACGUGCAAAUCGAUCGUCAAAUUUGGGCAUAGGGGCGAAAGACUAAUCGAACUAUCUAGUAGCUGGUUCCUGCCGAA